UACAGAGGGGGCAAGCGUUGUUCGGAAUUACUGGGCGUAAAGGGCGCGUAGGCGGCCUGCUAAGUCGAACGUGAAAUCCCUGGGCUCAACCCAGGAACUGCGUCCGAUACUGGUUGGCUUGAAUCCGGGAGAGGGACGUGGAAUUCCAGGUGUAGCGGUGAAAUGCGUAGAUAUCGGAAGGAACAUCAGUGGCGAAAGCGGCUUCCUGGACCAGUACCGACGUCAGGCACGAAAGCGUGGGGAGCAAACAGG
rnacentral:rRNA from 1 species